CUCGGUCAUUUAGAGGAAGGUGAAGUCGUAACAAGGUUUCCGUAGGUGAACCUGCGGAAGGAUCAUUACCACACCGAUCCAAGAUCUUUUUCACCGCGAACUGCGGUCCCCUGGUUGCUGGCGGAGAUUUACUUACUGGGUGCUCUAUGGAGAACCUGCUGGGUGACCCGCUGGUGGGACUGCGAAACAAAGUGCCUCGGCUGCUUCUGUGGCCGAGACGCGACCGUCACUUUACGACAUUUACCGGUCUUGACCAAAUAAACUGAACCAAAAAAGGGCUUGCUGGAACUGUGGCUUUACUGCCCAGUGACAGCAGCCUGUUAAAAAACAUUAAUACCUUACAACUUUCAGCGAUGGAUGUCUAGGUUCCCA
rnacentral:misc_RNA from 1 species